GAGUGGGCAGAGUGGGCACCGACUGUCCCUCUGGGACCUGGGGAGGUGAUGCUCAGCGGGGUGGGCGGGGCGGUGACAGCUGACAGAGAGAAGCAGGUGGUGGAGUCAGGGCAUGGUUCCUUGCUUACAGGUCAAAUGUGAGGUUGGGCCACCAUCCAGCCAGGAAUGAUUCAGGCCCAUAUCUCUUUUGGUUAAAACAGGAAACCCAAUUAAAUACCGGCCAGGCUUGCGGAAAGUUGAAAUCGAAGAUCCAGAGGCAGAGUCUGCCUCAAGUGCAGUGUGUUGAAUAUACUCCAUCUGCUGUUUCUUUGAGAUUAUCUGGGUGGGCUCCUCAAGCCCCACAAGGUGGGGCAGGAGGGGCCGCUUAUGAGGAGUCAUCAGGAGGACGUACCUGUCAUGGGUGACAGUUUCACGUGGAGUAAUUCAAGAGACUGGAGGUGGGGAUGUCAUUUGGAUUCCUGCAGGGACUCAACAAACUGGAGCAACCCCAGCCUCGCCCAGUGAAGCUCGGCUGGGCACCGGGGUCACCUGCAGACCUCCCAGAGACCCUGAGGCCUGGGCUCAAUCCACGCCCACACGAUCAGAAUCCCGAGGCAGGAGCGUCGGUGUUUUAGGGUGCUUCAGUGAUGAUGCCAGGGGUUCCAGUGGGCAGGCAAGAUGAAGACCAUCUGGCCUCAUCGUGGUGGCUCUUUGAACCUUUUAAUUUAGCAUUCUAACAAAAAUUAGAAGCAGGCACUGUGCUUAUCUCGUUGUCUCAAGGCCAGGACUGGCUUUCUUCACAGACCUCCCCAUUUGGAAGCCUGAGCUUUGUCUCCUGCUUUACUUUAGUAUAAACUAAAAUAUCUUAUAUCUCAAAACUUGCUCACAAUACAGCAAAACAGUAAACAUCAAAAGAGCAGGCGGUGUUACAGUAAAUACAACAGAGGCUCAUAUCCUUAUUUAUAAUCAAGGGUAUGUCUGCCAGGCAUUUCACUGCCCCUCCAGCCUUCAGAAUAAUCCCAAAAUAGCAUCCGUGUCAUCUCCAUGUUACAGAGGACCGGGGCUCAGAGAGGUUCAGUCACUUGCCCAGGGUCACACAGCAGGUGAGCUGGAAUUCCAGCCCAGGCUGUGUGAGGCAAGAACACGACUACUGAGAGAUGCUGGGAGGCGCUCUGGCGCACUGGGUGUGUGCAUAGGCCUGGGGUAAGAAGAGGUACAAGCGAUGAGAUGCCAGCAUUCCUUUCAAAUCAGCAAGCACUUUUUUUACUGUACCCAUCGCUGGGGACGACACUUCUAGUUGCUACACGAAAGAAUAAAUUGCCGUAAACUUUGUACAACUCGAUGUGACCGUAUGUAAUGAGAACGAUAAAAGCUGAACCAGGAAUUUUACAUCUAGGAACCCGUCCUAAGGAAUGAUCUUAAAAGAAAACCAGGGUGAGAUCACAGUGCCUCAAAAGAAAGGGUGGCAGUCGUGGGGAGUGGUUAAGGGGUACCAUGCAUCUGUUGUGGGUGUAAAAGCAUCAGAACUUAUGCUUGCAAGAAGUUCUUCCUACCAGCAGGAAACAGUUUUCUUACAUUAGUUGAAGAGGAAGAAUUAAAGUUAUCUGCACAGCAUCAUCUGAAUUGUACCACCUCCCCAAAAUAACCACAGAAAAAAAUAAGGAAAGAAAAUGUUAACCCGUAGGUGAUGGGAUCGUGUGUGGUUAUUUUCUGUUUGGCAGACUUCUGUCUAUCUCUCAGAUUUUCUAGAAUGGCGGUAUUAAUUGUUGACAGGGAUUCAUUUCAUAAACAGCAAAUUAUUCCUUA
ensembl:lncRNA